rnacentral:rRNA from 1 species
UACGUAGGGGGCGAGCGUUAUCCGGAAUUAUUGGGCGUAAAGAGUACGUAGGUGGUUUCCUAAGCGAGGGGUUUAAGGCACUGGCUUAACCAAUGUUCGCCCCCCGAACUGGGAGACUUGAGUGCUGGAGAGGAAAGCGGAGUUCCUAGUGUAGCGGUGAAAUGCGUAGAUAUUAGGAGGAACACCAGUGGCGAAGGCGGCUUUCUGGACAGUAACUGACACUGAGGUACGGAGGUGUGGGGAGCAAACA